rnacentral:rRNA from 1 species
UACGGGGAGGGCAAGCGUUGUUCGGAAUUACUGGGCGUAAAGGGCUCGUAGGCGGCCAACUAAGUCAGACGUGAAAUCCCCAGGCUCAACCUGGGAACUGCGUCUGAUACUGGAUGGCUUGAAUUCGGGAGAGGGAUGCAGAAUUCCAGGUGUAGCGGUGAAAUGCGUAGAUAUCUGGAGGAAUACCGGUGGCGAAGGCGGCAUCCUGGACCGAGAUUGACACUGAUGAGCGAAAGCUAGGGGAGCAAACGGG